rnacentral:rRNA from 1 species
UACGUAGGGGGCAAGCGUUGUCCGGAUUUAUUGGGCGUAAAGAGCGUGUAGGCGGCCAUGUAGGUCCGUUGUGAAAACUCGAGGCUCAACCUCGAGACGCCGAUGGAAACCAUGUGGCUCGAGUCCGGAAGAGGAGAGUGGAAUUCCCGGUGUAGCGGUGAAAUGCGCAGAUAUCGGGAAGAACACCCGUGGCUAAGGCGGCUCUCUGGGACGGUACUGACGCUGAGACGCGAAAGCGUGGGGAGCGAACAGG